rnacentral:rRNA from 1 species
GACGGGGGAUGCAAGCGUUCUCCGGAAUGAUUGGGCGUAAAGCGUCCGCAGGUGGCAGUUCAAGUCUGCUGUCAAAGACCGGGGCUUAACUUCGGAAAGGCAGUGGAAACUGAACAGCUAGAGUAUGGUAGGGGCAGAGGGAAUUCCUGGUGUAGCGGUGAAAUGCGUAGAGAUCAGGAAGAACAUCGGUGGCGAAGGCGCUCUGCUGGACCAUAACUGACACUCAGGGACGAAAGCUAGGGGAGCGAACGGG